GUGCUUGCUUCGGCAGCACAUAUACUAAAAUUGGAAUGCUACAGAGAUUAGCUUGGCCUCUGUUCAAGGGUGAUAUGCAAAUGUGUGCAGCUUUCCAUAUUUUU